UACGUAGGGGGAAAGCGUUGUCCGGAUUUAUUGGGCGUAAAGAGCGUGUAGGCGGCCUUACGGGUCAGCUGUGAAAACUCGAGGCUCAACCUCGAGACGUCGGUUGAAACCGUAAGGCUAGAGUCCGGAAGAGGAGAGUGGAAUUCCCGGUGUAGCGGUGAAAUGCGCAGAUAUCGGGAAGAACACCCGUGGCGAAGGCGGCUCUCUGGGACGGUACUGACGCUGAGACGCGAAAGCGUGGGGAGCGAACAGG
rnacentral:rRNA from 1 species